rnacentral:tRNA from 3 species
UCCUCGGUAGCUCAAUGGUAGAGCACCUGACUGUUAAUCAGGGUGUUGCAGGUUCGAGUCCUGCCCGAGGAGCCA